rnacentral:lncRNA from 1 species
CCAACUUUGCAUUUGUUAUCAUAAAAUUUUAUGCAUAUAUAGCUUAGUUAAAUGUGAACAAUUGAACGAAUAGAACGAUUUAUAAAUUUCAGAUGAAUUUCCUUCGAGUAACUCUGGUGGUUAUUGCAGCUGUUAGCGUAGCUUCGGGUAAGUUACAAUGGUUAUAUUUAUUUUAGCGGGAAAAUAAAUAGAUAGUAAAGAGAUAAUGGAGUACCUUCCCCAAAUUAGUAAUAUAAUAUACACCCACUCCUUCAAAUUUUGCUGAAUUGUAACUCUGCUGAAGCCUCACUAUAGAAUAUUGUGUGUGUUUUAUAUAGUUUUGUAGUUUUGUUGGUGUUGUUUUCUUUUUACUAUUUUUGUGGGGGCGGGGAGGGUGGUAGUGAAUACGUUGUAUUUACUCUUGUUAUGGAUAUAAGAAAGCAUUUGACCAAAAAAAUGAGCAUGACCCGGGGGGCCUGUAUUUUGUUUUUGUUUCGUCUGUAAAGCCGCGGAAAGCUACAUAUAUAUAGUGAUUGCUUUCCCGGCGACCGCAUUUUCUGAUAAGUUAGUUUGAUAGGAACGAUUAGGGAUAGAACAUUGAUAUUUGAUAAAAAGUUGCAGUACUAUCAGUACAUAUAAGACUGACGACUAUUUCGAUAGGAGCUACUUGUGAUAUUUUGUAUAAAGUCGCAAAUACUAACAGUGGAUAUCGUAUUUAGAAUCUUCAAUACAAAAUAGCGUAAAAGCUCUGAGAUCAAGGACCACUACAGUUACGUAGAAGUUAUACCAUAGAAAGAAAUGUUAAAUGAAAUGAUUUAUGUCUCAGUUUAUUUAUUUUUUUAAUUUCAAAAUGGAUAUUUGUAACAAUUGCAAUCUCAUGAUAAAUUUUGAAUAAUUUGGCGUGCCACAUUUCUGCAUAUAACCAUCAAAACAGAAACCUCUUUUUCAAUAUUAACUAAAAAAAUGUUUCAAUCAUGUGGAAUUAUUUAGACAUAUUCGAAAAAAUUGUAAUUUGGUGGAACAUUUUUCAUAUACGCCGAAUAUACAGAACAUAGAACUGAAUAAUAUGUAUCUCACAAUAAUAUCCAAUAACAUUCAUUCAUAUGACACUUUUGAACUUUAUAGCGUACCGAAGAGUGUGCUACUACACUAAUUGGGCACAAUACAGAAAUGGAGCAGGAAAGUUUUUUCCUGAGAAUGUAGACCCUACACUUUGCACACAUAUCAUCUACUCAUUCGCCAAAAUGGUUGGAAAUAAAUUAACCGCUUAUGAAUGGAAUGACGAAAGUACUCCUUGGAAGAAGGGGAUGUAAGUUACUUUAACA